GGGUUGUGAGGUUAAGCGACUAAGCGUACACGGUGGAUGCCCUGGCAGUCAGAGGCGAUGAAGGACGUGCUAAUCUGCGAAAAGCGUCGGUAAGGUGAUAUGAACCGUUAUAGCCGGCGAUGUCCGAAUGGGGAAACCCAGUGCAAUUCGUUGCACUAUCGUUAACUGAAUACAUAGGUUAACGAGGCGAACCGGGGGAACUGAAACAUCUAAGUACCCCGAGGAAAAGAAAUCAACCGAGAUUCCCCCAGUAGCGGCGAGCGAACGGGGAGCAGCCCAGAGUCUGAAUCAGCUUGUGUGUUAGUGGAACGGUCUGGAAAGUCCGACGGUACAGGGUGAUAGUCCCGUACACCAAAAUGCACAGGUUGUGAACUCGAAGAGUAGGGCGGGACACGUGGUAUCCUGUCUGAAUAUGGGGGGACCAUCCUCCAAGGCUAAAUACUCCUGACUGACCGAUAGUGAACCAGUACCGUGAGGGAAAGGCGAAAAGAACCCCGGCGAGGGGAGUGAAAAAGAACCUGAAACCGUGUACGUACAAGCAGUGGGAGCACCUUCGGGUGUGACUGCGUACCUUUUGUAUAAUGGGUCAGCGACUUAUAUUCUGUAGCAAGGUUAACCGUAUAGGGGAGCCGCAGGGAAACCGAGUCUUAACUGGGCGUUAAGUUGCAGGGUAUAGACCCGAAACCCGGUGAUCUAGCCAUGGGCAGGUUGAAGGUUGGGUAACACUAACUGGAGGACCGAACCGACUAAUGUUGAAAAAUUAGCGGAUGACUUGUGGCUGGGGGUGAAAGGCCAAUCAAACCGGGAGAUAGCUGGUUCUCCCCGAAAGCUAUUUAGGUAGCGCCUCGUGAACUCAUCUUCGGGGGUAGAGCACUGUUUCGGCUAGGGGGUCAUCCCGACUUACCAACCCGAUGCAAACUACGAAUACCGAAGAAUGUUAUCACGGGAGACACACGGCGGGUGCUAACGUCCGUCGUGAAGAGGGAAACAACCCAGACCGCCAGCUAAGGUCCCAAAGUCAUGGUUAAGUGGGAAACGAUGUGGGAAGGCACAGACAGCCAGGAUGUUGGCUUAGAAGCAGCCAUCAUUUAAAGAAAGCGUAAUAGCUCACUGGUCGAGUCGGCCUGCGCGGAAGAUGUAACGGGGCUAAACCAUGCACCGAAGCUGCGGCAGCGACACUAUGUGUUGUUGGGUAGGGGAGCGUUCUGUAAGCCUGCGAAGGUGUGCUGUGAGGCAUGCUGGAGGUAUCAGAAGUGCGAAUGCUGACAUAAGUAACGAUAAAGCGGGUGAAAAGCCCGCUCGCCGGAAGACCAAGGGUUCCUGUCCAACGUUAAUCGGGGCAGGGUGAGUCGACCCCUAAGGCGAGGCCGAAAGGCGUAGUCGAUGGGAAACAGGUUAAUAUUCCUGUACUUGGUGUUACUGCGAAGGGGGGACGGAGAAGGCUAUGUUAGCCGGGCGACGGUUGUCCCGGUUUAAGCAUGUAGGCUGGUUAUCCAGGCAAAUCCGGAUAAUCAAGGCUGAGGUGUGAUGACGAGGCACUACGGUGCUGAAGUAACAAAUGCCCUGCUUCCAGGAAAAGCCUCUAAGCAUCAGGUAACAUCAAAUCGUACCCCAAACCGACACAGGUGGUCAGGUAGAGAAUACCAAGGCGCUUGAGAGAACUCGGGUGAAGGAACUAGGCAAAAUGGUGCCGUAACUUCGGGAGAAGGCACGCUGGUGUGUAGGUGAAGUCCCUGCGGAUGGAGCUGAGACCAGUCGAAGAUACCAGCUGGCUGCAACUGUUUAUUAAAAACACAGCACUGUGCAAACACGAAAGUGGACGUAUACGGUGUGACGCCUGCCCGGUGCCGGAAGGUUAAUUGAUGGGGUUAUCCGUAAGGAGAAGCUCUUGAUCGAAGCCCCGGUAAACGGCGGCCGUAACUAUAACGGUCCUAAGGUAGCGAAAUUCCUUGUCGGGUAAGUUCCGACCUGCACGAAUGGCGUAAUGAUGGCCAGGCUGUCUCCACCCGAGACUCAGUGAAAUUGAACUCGCUGUGAAGAUGCAGUGUACCCGCGGCAAGACGGAAAGACCCCGUGAACCUUUACUAUAGCUUGACACUGAACAUUGAGCCUUGAUGUGUAGGAUAGGUGGGAGGCUUUGAAGCGUGGACGCCAGUCUGCGUGGAGCCAACCUUGAAAUACCACCCUUUAAUGUUUGAUGUUCUAACGUUGGCCCCUUACCGGGGUUGCGGACAGUGUCUGGUGGGUAGUUUGACUGGGGCGGUCUCCUCCCAAAGCGUAACGGAGGAGCACGAAGGUUAGCUAAUCCUGGUCGGACAUCAGGAGGUUAGUGCAAUGGCAUAAGCUAGCUUGACUGCGAGCGUGACGGCGCGAGCAGGUGCGAAAGCAGGUCAUAGUGAUCCGGUGGUUCUGAAUGGAAGGGCCAUCGCUCAACGGAUAAAAGGUACUCCGGGGAUAACAGGCUGAUACCGCCCAAGAGUUCAUAUCGACGGCGGUGUUUGGCACCUCGAUGUCGGCUCAUCACAUCCUGGGGCUGAAGUAGGUCCCAAGGGUAUGGCUGUUCGCCAUUUAAAGUGGUACGCGAGCUGGGUUUAGAACGUCGUGAGACAGUUCGGUCCCUAUCUGCCGUGGGCGCUGGAGAAUUGAGGGGGGCUGCUCCUAGUACGAGAGGACCGGAGUGGACGCAUCACUGGUGUUCGGGUUGUCAUGCCAAUGGCACUGCCCGGUAGCUAAAUGCGGAAGAGAUAAGUGCUGAAAGCAUCUAAGCACGAAACUUGCCCCGAGAUGAGUUCUCCCUGAGACUUUAAGUCUCCUGAAGGAACGUUAAAGACGAUGACGUUGAUAGGCCGGGUGUGUAAGCGCAGCGAUGCGUUGAGCUAACCGGUACUAAUGAACCGUGAGGCUUAACCUUACAACGCCGAAG
rnacentral:rRNA from 2 species